GGUGGAAAUACUGCUCUGCUUCAAAGAUUGAUUGGAUGCAGAGACGAGGCUUCGAAAUAAAGAUGGACAUUCUAAGAUUGAUUGGAUGCAGAGACGAGGCUUCAAAAUAAAGAUGGAUAUUCUACUAUAUCCUCUGACGAAGAUGACACAAACGAGACCGACAGUUGAUAGAAUUUUUAUCAAGCUAGUACAGAAGAGC
rnacentral:lncRNA from 1 species